rnacentral:lncRNA from 1 species
GACAGCUACGGGCUGAGGCAGCCAUUCCUGCAGCAGCGCUCGGCCGGUGAAGGGCCGAACUGACGCCUCCUAGAUCUGUCUCGGCUGAAUUACUCUCACCCGUUUCCAUUCUGUGUGCACCAGAAAUCUGAGAUCCAGGAGUAUCAACAGCAAAGAUGUCUAAUGAGCCACCCCCUCCUUAUCCAGGAGGUCCUACAGCCCCACUACUGGAGGAAAAAAGUGGAGCCCCACAUACCCCAGGCCGAACCUCUCCAGCUGUGAUGCAGCCACCACCAGGCAUGCCACUGCCCUCUGCUGACAUUGCCCCCCCGCCCUAUGAGCCGCCUGGCCAUCCAGUGCCUCAGCCUGGUUUCGUGCCCCCCCACAUGAAUGCAGAUGGCACCUACAUGCCUGCAGGUUUCUACCCUCCUCCAGGCCCUCACCCACCUAUGGGCUAUUAUCCACCAGGAC